rnacentral:rRNA from 1 species
UACGUAGGGUGCAAGCGUUAAUCGGAAUUACUGGGCGUAAAGCGUGCGCAGGCGGUUUUGUAAGUCUGUCGUGAAAUCCCCGGGCUCAACCUGGGAAUUGCGAUGGAGACUGCAAGGCUAGAAUCUGGCAGAGGGGGGUAGAAUUCCACGUGUAGCAGUGAAAUGCGUAGAGAUGUGGAGGAACACCGAUGGCGAAGGCAGCACCCUGGGUCAAGAUUGACGCUCAUGCACGAAAGCGUGGGGAGCAAACAGG